rnacentral:rRNA from 1 species
AUUGAACGCUGGCGGCAGGCCUAACACAUGCAAGUCGAACGAGUGGCGGAAGGGUGAGUAAUGUCUGGGAAACUGCCCGAUGGAGGGGGAUAACUACUGGAAAAGGUAGCUAAUACCGCAUACCAUCGGAUGUGCCCAGAUGGGAUUAGCUAGUAGGUGGGGUAACGGCGCACCUAGGCGACGAUCCCUAGCUGGUCUGAGAGGAUGACCAGCAACACUGGAACUGAUACACGGUCCAGACUCCUACGGGAGGCAGCAGUGGGGAAUAGUGCACAAUGGGCGCAAGCCUGAUGCAGCCAUGCCGCGUGUAUGAAGAAGGCCUUCGGGUUGGAAAGGACUUUCAGCGGGGAGGCGUUACCCGCAGAAGAAGCACCGGCUAACUCCGUGCCAGCCGCCGCGGUAAUAC